CAUGGCCAUGCGCGCUUUCUGCAGCUGGAGUUUCGGUAACCUUGGGAUUGACCGCAGAGAGCGAGGUUUUGCCAUAAACGUCGCCACAUAGCUCAAUGAAAGCUUUGAUGAUGUGGAAUGUGGAAAUUUUUGGAAAAGGAUUCUGUCAGAAGGAAGUACCUUGCUGUGUCUGCUGUAGGAAGGCCCAGUUAUGAAUGCCUGGAGACAAUGGAGCCAAAUAUACACAAAGGGCCAGGAGUCAGAUUCUCAAUUUACAUGCAGCUGCCAUUUUGAAAAAAAAA